ACAAGCGGUGGAGCAUGUGGUUAAUUCGAUGGUACACGAGGAACUUACCUGGGUUUGACAUGCACAGGAAUACGGCAGAGAUGUCGUAGUCCCGCAAGGGAUCUGUGAACAGGUGCUGCAUGGCUGUCGUCAGCUCGUGUCGUGAGAUGUUGGGUUAAGUCCCGCAACGAGCGCAACCCUUAUCAUUAGUUGCUACGCAAGGGCACUCUAAUGAGACUGCCGGUGACAAACCGGAGGAAGGUGGGGAUGACGUCAAGUCCUCAUGGCCCUUAUGGGUAGGGCUUCACACGUCAUACAAUGGUCGGUACAGAGGGUUGCCAAGCCGCGAGGCGGAGCCAAUCCCACAAAGCCGAUCGUAGUCCGGAUUGUUCUCUGCAACUCGAGAGCAUGAAGUCGGAAUCGCUAGUAAUCGCAGGUCAGCAUACUGCGGUGAAUACGUUCCCGGGUCUU
rnacentral:rRNA from 1 species